rnacentral:rRNA from 1 species
UGCUCUCUCGUUCUCUGUCGAUCCAUCCAUCUCUCUCUCUCUCAUUCCUAUCCACGCGAGAGCUUCCCCGGAGCGUACCGGUGCCAGCGCCCCAUCUAUCUCCAGCCCCUCCCCGCCGACGGUGGCCACCACCAAUGCGUCGUGGCCAGCCCGUUGCGUGCGCCCCCCUCCCCUCCCCCGGGCUGUCAGCCAACGGAGUGUCCCCUGGUGACAGAUCAGAUCCGGGGCAGCUGUCGCUCCUUCCCUUCCCAUGACUCCGACGCGAUGUGCCCCCCUUUGAUCUCCAUGGGGACCUAUGCCGCCCAAAUUCGCCUCACAUGCAUGUCAUUCCGGUGUGCUGGUGGCGCGACCCAGCGCUGUUGAGCUA